rnacentral:rRNA from 1 species
CCUACGGGGGGCAGCAGUGGGGAAUAUUGGGCAAUGGGCGAAAGCCUGACCCAGCAACGCCGCGUGAAGGAAGAAGGCUUUCGGGUUGUAAACUUCUUUUGACAGGGAAGAGCAGAAGACGGUACCUGUCGAAUAAGCCACGGCUAACUACGUGCCAGCAGCCGCGGUAAUACGUAGGGGGCAAGCGUUAUCCGGAUUUACUGGGUGUAAAGGGGGCGCAGACGGCGAUGCAAGCCAGGAGUGAAAGCCCGGGGCCCAACCCCGGGACUGCCCUUGGAACUGCGUGGCUGGAGUGCAGGAGGGGCAGGCGGAAUUCCUGGUGUAGCGGUGAAAUGCGUAGAUAUCAGGAGGAACACCGGUGGCGAAGGCAUCUCACGAAUCCGCGAUUGACGCUGAUGCACGAAAGCGUGGGUAUCAAACAGGAUUAGAUACCCGAGUAGUC